rnacentral:rRNA from 1 species
UACAGAGGGUGCGAGCGUUGUUCGGAAUUAUUGGGCGUAAAGGGCGCGUAGGCGGCUCAUGAAGGCUGUGGUGAAAGUCCGGGGCUCAACCUCGGAUCGGCCGUGGCGACUCGUGGGCUGGAGCACUGUAGAGGCGGGUGGAAUUCCGGGUGUAGCGGUGGAAUGCGUAGAGAUCCGGAAGAACACCAGUGGCGAAGGCGGCCCGCUGGGCAGUGGCUGACGCUGAGGCGCGACAGCGUGGGGAGCAAACAGG